ACCAAAGCCACUACUGAAUUAACCAACCCAAGCCCAACAGUAAUUUAAUUUACAAAAGUCCAUCAGCUCUUAUUAGCCCAAGUAAUUGUUUAAGCCCAACUGUAAUUACCCAUUAUUCUUUAAUAAAUAAAAUCUAAUCUAAACAAAUUAAUCACCCUUUUCCUUUUCUUCUACGCAAUAGCAUCACUCUCUCCCUCUCUCUGCGUUCUCUCCUUUUUAUCUCUACUGGCGCUCUCUCCUCCUCCGGCAGAUGUCGCCGGUCCUCCCCGCCUCCGGCGCGGCGAGGCCGGCCCUCUCCUUCCCCCUCCUUUUCUUUCUUCCCUACUUCCUUCCCAAUUUCUAAAAUCCCCAAAUUAUAGGGUUUGCUGCCUUCCUUUUUCCCUCUGAAAUUCGCCCCUCCGGCGAGGCCCGCCACUGCCGCCGCCGUCUCUGUGGCACCACCGCCACCUCCGUCUCAGGAAUUGAUCGGCGUCGUCGACUCCGGCGUGGCAGCUUCGUCUACUGCCCAAGAUUCUACCUUUUCUUCCUUUCUUUUUAUUAUUGAUUCGUUGUGAAACUGAAGUAUAAGGAUGAUGGGGAAACUGGAAAUUAGAACUAGAAAUGUGUUUGUAGCUAUGCUUGUAUCUAUUUAGUGUAUCUACUCUGUUCUUGUUUACUGUUGUAUACAUAUAUGAUGAAUGAACUGUAAUAAAGAGAUACUACCUGCUU